UUCCCUGUGGCGCAAUGGUUAGCGCGUUCGACUGUUAUCACUCCAUUCAAUUUCGUCGGUAUUACAAACAUCGAAGCAUUUGAAAGAAGUGCAAUCGAGAGGUUGACAGUUCAAUCCUGUCUGGGGAAG